AAAUAAAAUAACAUUAAUUAUGCGUACAACGUUCGCUCUUAUUGCUAGUAAAACUAAAAGAACCUAAAAAAAUGAAAAAAAAAUUAGUAAUUGAAACAUUAAAUCAUAAGUACAGGAACCUCUAAGCAUGAUUUACCUUUUACCAAUCACCAAAAAUGGUAUUCCUCACCCAUUUACUCUAAUGUCUCAUGAAAGAGCCUGUCGAAUAAUAUAUAAGUUGACAGCAAGGCACAAAUCACUAAAACAACCUAAUUACAUUAGAAGAUAAAUAAAGUUUUUCCUAUUUGCUCUACAACUGCUAUAUCUACCAAAAAUCAACACACCUCUCAACUUCAGCCUAACCCUAAAGAAGUAGGGUGGUUUCGCU
rnacentral:lncRNA from 1 species